AUAUUGGAGUGAUGAGUGGAGCGGCUAUCUACAUCAAAGAUGAUCUGCAAAUCUCAGAUUUUCAAGUAGAAGUUCUGGUGGGAACACUUAACAUAUACUCAUUAGUUGGUUCAGCCGCAGCUGGCCGGACCUCCGACUGGAUAGGGCGGCGGUAUACUAUAGUGGUGGCUGGAGCUAUUUUCUUUGUGGGAGCUCUUCUAAUGGGAUUUGCCACAACUUAUGCGUUUCUGAUGGUAGGGCGGUUUGUUGCCGGGAUUGGUGUCGGCUAUGCUCUUAUGAUUGCACCGGUUUAUACUGCUGAAGUGUCUCCGGCUUCCUCUCGUGGAUUUCUCACUUCAUUUCCUGAAGUACGUAUACAUUAAUAUAUUAUAUAAUAUAGUCCUUGUCAUUUUAUAUAUUAUCUUUAUUUAUCACUUUGAAAAACUAUAAAUUUUUUAGUUCUGAAAAUAGAUUUAUAUUUUAUGUUGGGACAAGUUUACUUGAAUACUAUGAGAUGUUAAAAAAAGAAAAAAAAAAUCUUUUAUUUAAAAAUUUCAUCUUUAAAACAAAUAAACCAAAAGUGUUAUAUUUAAAAUGCAUAUAAAUAAUUUAAUACAUUACACCAAAAAUAGCUUAUAAUAAUAUUAUAAUACUUAAUAAAUAAAAACAUUUGCAUUCAUUAUUCAUUAACGGCGUUUUUUAAUUGACAGGUAUUCAUUAACGGCGGGAUCUUGCUCGGCUACGUAUCAAACUUUGCAUUCUCAAAGCUUCCAACUCAUUUGAGUUGGCGGUUCAUGCUUGGAAUCGGUGCAGUUCCUUCAGUUUUCCUUGCUCUAAUUGUCCUUGUCAUGCCCGAGUCACCUCGUUGGCUCAUUCUGCAAGGCCGACUCGGUGAAGCCAAGCGAGUCCUGGACAGGACCUCCGACUCCAAAGAAGAAUCUGAAGCAAGACUCGCCGAUAUAAAAGAAGCCGCAGGUAUUCCUCAAGAUUGCAACGACGACAUCGUUCAAGUGCAAAAACAAUCCCAUGGUGAAGGUGUAUGGCGGGAAUUACUCCUCCAUCCUACACCGUCCGUUCGCCAUAUCUUAGUUUGUGCGAUCGGGAUUCACUUCUUCCAACAAGCUUCGGGUAUAGACGCUGUCGUAUUAUACAGCCCCAGAAUAUUUGAAAAGGCCGGGAUCACAUCAGAUGAUAAUAAGUUACUUGCAACUGUAGCCGUUGGAUUUGUUAAGACAAUGUUCAUUUUAGUGGCUACGUUUUUGCUAGACAGGAUCGGACGGCGACCGUUGCUCCUAACAAGUGUUGCUGGAAUGAUAUUUUCGUUAGCGACCCUUGGAUUUUCGUUGACCAUUAUAGAUCAUUCGCACGAUAAGCUAACAUGGGCUAUAGUAUUGUGUUUAACAAUGGUAUUAGCCUACGUGGCAUUUUUCUCAAUAGGGAUGGGCCCCAUCACAUGGGUGUAUAGUUCUGAGAUCUUUCCGUUGAGGCUACGCGCUCAAGGCACGAGUAUGGGAGUGGCUGUGAACAGAUUAACAAGUGGGGUCAUAUCGACGACUUUUAUUUCACUGUACAAAGGAAUAACAAUGGGAGGGGCGUUUUUUCUGUUCGCGGCUAUAGCAACGGUAGCGUGGACCUUCUUUUUUACAUGUUUGCCCGAGACACGAGGAAGGACAUUGGAGGAUAUGGAGGUCCUUUUUGGUAGUUUCAUUAAUUGGAGGUCUGCUUUGAAGGAGGAUAGCUUGAAGAAGAAAGCAGCUAGUAGUGAAAAUAAUGGUCAGAUUCAGUUGGGUACUGCUACUAACACUACUGUUACUAAAGCUUAGUUGAAGGAUAUUUUGGUAAAUCUACCUACUUGAUGAAAUGUUAGAUUAGUGUUUUUUUUUUUUUUUUUUUUUUUUUUUUUUUUUUUUUUUUUUUUAUGCUUGUUCUUACCUUAGUUGGGUGAGAUUCAGCCAAGUAAUGUUUGAAAUAUGAAAAUAUGGAAAGCUUGUAUGCAAGAAAAAGAAAUCCAACAAAAAAUCAAUUAAGAAGAAAGAGAUAUUAUUCUGUAUAUUUUUAAAAUCAAAUCAAAUCAAAUAAUAUAUCGAAUCAAUUCAGUUCAUUUGAGCUAAUUUGGUUGAUUUUUUAGUCGUUGUACAACUAUUUUAAGUAUAUAUUUUAGGUUUAUAAAUCAAAUUGAAUCGAAAAUUUUUAAUUUUUUAAUGAAAACUUAAAUCGAAUCAUAAAUAUUACUCCCUCAAUUCCACAUAUCAUUUUACCUUGUUCUACUUUUGUAAUAAUAUUAAAUGGGAAAAUUUUAAUUUUAAGAAGUGCGAUGUUAACAUUUCAUAAUGUAUUUUUAAAAAAUUAAUAUGUUCCGAUCAUUGUUUUAAUUCUUAUAAAAAGAUCAAAUGCUGUUAUUAAAGUGAAAUGGAGGAGGUAAAGAUUAAAUCAAAUUGAUUUAAUUCGAUAAUUUUAAUUGAUUUAAUCAAAAUAUGAACAGAUGGCAAAGCAGAAUUAGUUGGAGGUGUAAUUUGAAAUCUAAAGUUCAUUGAUAAUCUAAUAAUUACCAAUAUAGGAAAAUUUUAAUUAUGUUGUACACUUUUCUAAUCAACUCAAACAAACAUAUUUAAAAGAUGUCAUUUAUCAAUUAUGUAUACUUUUCUUUAUUUAAGGAAAUUAUUACGUUAUGCUGAUGUAUGGAUGGUGUCAAAUAUAAAUUUUUCUUUUCAUUUUUACUAUAAAAGUGAAUUGUUUUGUAAUUUAUAUAUUUGCAUAAUCCAAAACAUAUGUACUUAUUUGACAUGCGUAUGAAAAAAGAAGAGAAAUCACACAAAUAACAUGUAAAUAAUGACGUAAAAGUAAAGACAACUCCAAUUAUUGGGGAGAAAGAAAAUGUUGUCCACAAAUAUGUGUUUGGUCGAAUCACAAGGAAACCAAAGUCUCUGCUAAAUUUUUUUUUUUUAAAAAAAAGAAAUUGUAGAUUUAUUUCCACCUCCUAUGCAUAAUUGUUUGAGACUGAGUUCGAAUUAAAAAGAGAGAAAAAAAAUUUUAACUUUGAAUUUGAUUUUUGUCCCUAGAUAUGCAAAUAACUUUUGUUUUUUCAUUCUUUUUAAACAGGUGGACCUUAGGCAUUUGGAGGUUGUGGAAAAACCGAAAAGGAUUUUUUUUUGCUUAUAAGUGGUGGUUGUUUAUAUUUUUAGGUUGUGUUCAGCAAUGGCUUCUUUAAUAGCUUUGCUAAACGUAAUUUUUUAUAGUGUUCAGUAAUAUAGCUUUUGAACUAGUUUUUAGAUAUUAAUAUAGCGUUUUUAUAAAAAGUUAACUCAUAUCAUAUUUAAUUUUCAGCAUUUCAUAAAAAAUUACUCAAAUAGCUAAUAACUAAAUGUUAUUAAAACAAUUAACAGCUAUCAAAAAACGCUAAUUUUAUUGAAUAAAUCCUUAACAUUCUUUACUAUUUCCUUUUUUCUUUUUCUAGUAUGUAUGACCAAAGGAUUUUGGUUUAUUGUAUGCAGGAGGUUGGCCAAUGGCCUACUUAGUUUGUUGCAAUUUGGAAGAAGUGGUCCAACAUUGGGUUGGAUCCGACUAGUAAAAUUACUUGUAAAUCGACUCUUUAAAAGGACCUUACAAUAUUUAUACUUGUACUUUUGUUUUUUUGUUUUCUUUCAAAUAUUUAAAAAAAAAAAUGUAAUUAAAUCUUGAUGUAGUUGUUUGCCAUUUGUGUCCUUAAUUCCACAUGGUAGGCACGUAGCAAAAUGGAAAGGUGGCUAAUGACUAUAAACAGUGUAAUAGAACAGAAAUGAAAUAUGAGAAUCAUGGAUGAAAAUGGAUAAGACAUAAUUUAAGUUAUUAGAUCAGAAUCCACUUGACAUAGUUCUUACUUGAUGUUUAAAUGGAAAAAAGAAAAGAGAAGAGAAAUGGAAAUAUGAAGGAGAUGGGGAGAGAGAGCAAGCAUGUGAGUCUUGUCUUGCAUCCAGGUGCUAUGGUCCAUGCAUAAUUAAAUAAUGUGUCUGAGAAUCUGACAACUCAUUAUAACUCAUCCUCGUUUGCUCAAAUCUCCAGAAAGAAGGGACCCCCAAAUUGCUAAUUAUAAUGAAUCCACUAGAGAACUUUAAGAGUGGGUACUCGUGUGAUUAGGCAUAACUUAUCUAUCAUCUCACCUAUUAACAGCCACCGACCAGAAUAUGAUGAAAUCACGCUUUAAGCAUAGAAAUAGAAUUAUCGAGCACUUGCCCGAUAAUUUGAUUGCAAUAAAUAAUAUAUUUAAAAUUCAACUUUUGGAUUAAUUUUAAUAAAAAUUUUUCAAUUAUGAAUUUUUAAUUGAUUAUUGCUUAAUCUUCUAAUUAGAGCUUCCUUUAAAAAUCAUUAUAAAAUUUAAUUUUUCAUUAUUCAUUCUAUAUAUCACUUAAAUUUUUUUUAAACAAACAAAUAUUAUUAUUACCAUAAUUGACCAAAAUACUAUUUAAUGCAUGGUUGGUAAUGAUACAAAAUAUAAUUGGAUUUUAGAACACAUUAAUGUUAGUCGAAAACACCGAUGAAUCAAGAACUUCAAGUGGAUCGGAAGUCUCCAUACUCUAUAGACAUAAUUUCCUUUUUUAUUUUAAAUUAAUGUGCAUAUACAAUCUCCUAUUUUUUCAAUAUAUUCAAAAAAUGAAAGUUAAACUCCGAUUUAUAUAAAUUCUCAUGUGCAAGUUACAAUAAAUAUAAAAAGAAUUGCACUAGAUCAUCAAUACCCUCGUCCCAGAAUUCAUAUCCUUGUCGUUGUCGGAGUGUUUGAUAUACAGUAAAUUCUUCCACAAAAAAUGAGCCACAACUCCACAGUUAACCUAUAAAAUUAGAAAAAAAGUUCAUGUUCUCUUUAGUUCAAGAGAGCCAGAAAAAUACCACUUAACGCAGAGAGAGAAUUUACAUUAACAAAUCCAAAACAGCCAGACUGUAACAUGUGAUGUGUGAUUGUUCUUCCAAGAAGCAGUGAAUUUUCAUUAAUAAACAAGGGGGAAUCCCACCACUAGUUUACAAACAAAGUGCCGUUUUUUUUUUUUUUUUACAGAUCUUUUACCUCAAAAGCUUUUUCCUUUUUCUAAGGUGGAAAUCCCUUGAAAAGAAUUACAGCUGUAAGACUGACAAAAGAAAAUUAAUACAAAAAUUACAAGCAAUCAUGUACAUUUAAUGUUAGAAGCUCUAUGAUAUUGGUUCUACUUCUCAAUGCCUUGCUGCAGAUAUUGUAUCAAGUCAUAGCCGGCAGUUGUCCACUUGUUGUAGGCGUCUGUGCACACGCGGAUCAUAAAAUUGGCAGCUUCACGCUCGCUCAUCUCAGGAUGAAAUCUCUUGCGUAGAUUUCCGAUUGGAUCACCCCUACUGAAGCAUGGUAAUCCGCUGUCUAACAUCAACAUCACGGUGUUGAUUAUCCCAUCCAUGUAACGACGGGCUGCAAGGUAACCCUUGACGCACAAGCUGCGGAUCAUAAGAAGAGAAUCAAGAACUCAGCUUCGAAAAAUAUUGACCGAUAAAUGCAUACACAAUAAUAAAAAUGCAGAGCGUAUUUUACCUUACAAAUUGGUUCCAGGUUUCACUCUUCAUAACACCAGAAGGAUCUAAUAGUUGGGUCAUCUCAUGGCUCAGCUUGAAGUGUGCGCUUUCGAAUCUCAUAUUUCCACCAGGUGAUAUUUCAAAAAUGAAACCAAAAUCAAUAUGAACUAGCCUCCCAUCACUGCAUUGACAUUUAUGUUAAGAGUCAAAUUCUUAAUAUUUCUUUUCUUUACAUUUUUCUUUUUUCCUGAAAACCCCAUAGCUAUCAUGUUUUUAAAGAAAAAAUAGUUGGAAGAUUGUAAAAUCAAGGGAAACGAUCGGGCAAAAGAUCUCAUACCUAUCAAAAAGAAGAUUCCCAUUAUGUCUGUCCUUCGGCUGAAGCAAAAGACUGGCUACUGCAUAACCUGCACUGCUAACGAUAAAGUUUUCACGUGCAGUUUCAAAACUAGGAGAGCCUACAGGCCCAAAAUCCUGUUGAAAAAUCUCAAAUAAACCACCAUCUGUUGUUUCACCCAUUUGACUUCUGCUUCGCGAGUUAGGAACCACCUGUAUGAUUCAAGAAUAGAUACUAAGAAAGAUAGCAUGCAGAAUUUUGCAGGUGAUUCAUUUUGAACUAAAAGAUAUCAUUCUCAGAUACAUGGGGAGAUGAAAGGUCAAGAAUAUAUGGCAUUUUAUUUUUAUCCCCCAUUAUGUAAGAUAUAUUUGGAUCUUUUUGUUUCUUUGAACAUAAGCUUGUUAUAAAUUAGGCAAGAAGUUCAAUUAAUUUCAAGAAAAUUCAAAACAGAAAGCACCUCAUGGAUCAUGGGCAAGCCCAGAAUUCUCCAUAACUUCCCACACUGCGAAGAACUCAAGCGCAAAGGCUAAUGGUAGAUUGUAGUUCACAAGAACUGCUAUCUGUUAAUCUAACACAACACUAUCCAUGGCAGUGAUAACAUACAUGCAAAAUGCGCAUGCAUGCUUUAUCAGAAUCACCACAAACUUCUCUAUCAUUGGCAUUCUUAAUUUGCCAAACACUACUAAGUGUAUAACAUUUUCAAACAGGAAUAAAGUUACUGCGAGACUCUUCCAUAAUAAAAGAAAAAUAUCUAAAACAUUCUAAUACAAAUCACAAAAAAAAAAAAUGUUUGAGAGCACUCCAGUUAUUAAUUUCAGGCACUAGUCUAAUAUAAUCUAUAAUCAGGAACUUUAUGAUUAAUUGAUGUUUAGAGAUAUCAAACUUAUGAACCAAAAAGAACGAAAAGAAAUGAAACUUGAAUCAUAUACAAUCAUCCCGGAAUGGAACUUGCACUUUAAAGUUUAAAUAACCAUGUUACAUUUACAAACAUGGCUUGAAAAGAAAAUCACCUCAAUUCACACACAUAUGACAUAUCACACUAGUAAUCACCUCAAUUCCAUGUAUGCACCGUAUGGAUCCAUAUCCAAUAUAGCAAUGCCCUAGACACAAGCACACAUUUCAGUUUAAUGAUGAUGGAAAAUCAGAGCUCACCUCAAUAAUACCUCUCUCCGGGCCAGUUGGAAGAACUCCAUAAGGAAACAAAUAGAGAUUAAGUCCCACUGCUUGAAAUAUGUCUCUAAGUAAUGAUAUCACUUGAAGAGCAAGAACAUCUUGCCGACAAUCAUCACCGACCUUAAAAAAGGAAAAACACUUGUGAGAAUACAACUCAAUUUGGAAAAUAAAAAUUUCAAAUCCAGAAAAUUUAAUUUACAAAAUAUGACAUACAUCUCUUUAAAAAUCAGCAUUUUAUCUGUUUUAUUGAGAUUUUGUAGCACAGUUUUAGAAACUUCAAUGAAGUUACCAAAUCAGAAACCCAAAAUUAGUCGUGCGCAUUAUUUGGUUAUUAUCAAACAACUAAACCGAACCAACAAAUUGGCUUAUUUCAAUAAAGGAAAUACAGUUAUUGCAGUAACAGAAAAUUCAGUUUCCAAAUUAUCAGUUUAGACACCUAAAAAAUGAUAACCAAAAUAAUCAAUUAUCAUUAUUAACAUAUUUUUUUAGCAAUAUAUCAUUGUAAUUAUGUUCUUACAAAUAUAUAUAGUUGAUACUGAUCUGGAACGUUUCGAUUUUGUUAUCAGGUGUAUAUAGUUCAGUUCAGUUGGUAUCAAAUUCGUUUGACCCAAUUAAUGCUCAUUCGUGCUCAACCAUACCCAUCCUGUGCAUAAAUGUACCAUAAGAGAAUGUUUCAACAAGACCAUCUGUAAUUGAUACCUUUAAUGGAAACUAGAAUUACCAAUUAUAAGUAUUAAAUCCAAAAAUUUCAUUGCUAUAUAAUAAUAUUUCACUUGCAAAGAUAGGAUCCGACUAUAUUUGGACUUAAAUCUACCAACUAAAAUGAGGACAAUGGGAAUUUGGAAUAAGGAUUGGGAUUGUGUAUCAUUAUCAAAUAAUAGUCAAAUGAAGACCCCACUCGGGCCAAAAGAGAUCACUGAGAAAUAUCGUAUAUCCUGAUUGGACCAACCAUCUAGUUUAACUUAUGUAGAAUCAAUACUAUUUUGCAAUUUUCAAAUUCAAAAAAAAAAAAAAAAAAUUGUAUUUACACUAAUAAAUCAAAACUUGCACCUCAUUACAAGUCGAACUAUUUUCUGAAAAUGACAAGUAAAUUUCACCAUCAACAUAAUUGUAUGCACUCUAUUUCAACUUAAAUUGCCUGUAUAUCUCUUGAACCUGAAAGCACAGUCCCUGCUGCUUGUUAAAAGAAGGCGCACAACCUCCUUUUGCUUUUGGUCUGGAGUCUGGACUUAUAGCUUUUGUAAUAUAUUUAUCCCAACUUUGUGUAAAUCCUUACUAUUCAUUAAAUGGGUGUGAAGAAGAUGUCUAUCAAGGCAGAAAAGUAGAUAAUGCAUAUGUGAGCUGUGCAUGUUUUGUGCUUUAAGUGCAGUCGUGAGUUUUGAAGUUUGCUAUAUGCUUCCAGUGAGGGUGAGAAGCUAGAUAUGUGGCAAACUGCUACUGUUUUUCUCAGUUGUUUCCCCCUCCCCCUAAAGAACAUUAGGCUACGUAUUAAAUAAUGUUUAAUUUUUUGGUAUAUUUUACAUGUGAUAUUUGCUUAGUUUUUACUUGGGCAUAAUAAAUCCAGACUUAAUUCCUAUGUUGAAUCCCAAUAUUAGCAAACAUAAUAUCAAACUUAAUUGGAUGCGGAACAAAGUUGAACAAAGUUGGUUUUUGCAAAAAGGCAUAUACAUGUAUAUAUAUGUAUUAAUUUCAAAAUAUCAGUUAUUUGAAAGUCUAAUUUGUGGCUAAACUUAGUUUCUUAAGUUUAUACAUUUAAUUAUUGCACGGGCAUCUUAAAACCAGAGACUUUCUCACUAAUCCAAAGUUUACACAUUAAAAGGUUCACAACCGUACCUUGAAAAUGCAAGCUUGAGGUUUUAUUUCAUUUGGCGUCUCCCGGUCAACCACAUUAAAUGUAAUCAUUAUAGGAACUUUUGCUGCUGACUGUAACGGUAUUCCACUGUCCACCUGUAUACCCCUGACAAGCUUGUUAGGAGCAGUUGGUAAAUAAAGGUCCUCUCCCUGCACUUCAGUUUUUUCCAACUCCCUGUCGUCGCAAGUUCAUAGAAACAUCAACAGCAAGAUACAAAAUAUAAAGAAGAAGAUUUAAAAGCAUUAACUCAAGUAUACCUCCGAAUACCAGCUCGACGUUCUUCCUUAGGAAUUGGAUAGAGAACACCAGAAAUAGAUGUGACUUUGUCAAAGAAGUCAAAUUCCCUUUGAAAUAUGUCAAGGGCCUUUCCAGCGAAACCAUCAAUAAUAUGUUGUCGAACAAUUGGUAACAGCGCUUGAAAGGAACUAUUCUGAAAUAACAGUAAGUAUAUGUUUGGUUAUUGGGCAUUGAAUAGCAUUUGACAGAUAAUGAUCUACCAAUCUACAGAUAGAUACAUAAGAUACACAUAUGCACAGAGCCACAGACAUACAUUGCAACACAAUGUUUAAGUCAUGAUGUCUAGUCGCAAAUAGGUAAACAGUAACACAAUUCAGAUUGCAAAUUUUAACUGUAGAAUAUGGCAUGUGAUUGUAUUGUUUUUGAGUGUGUUACAUUUAUAUAUUUUUCAGCUCUAUCACCCUCCAAUCCAUGUGCACGUAACAUAGUGUUUCCAAUUCACAUAUAAUUGAUAACACAAGGAUGCUGCUAAGUCAUAACAUUUUACAAAGAGUUGAAAAAAAAAAAUCAAAAUAUAUUGAUAUAAGACUCUGCAUAAACUUAAUUGUUCUUUAAUGACAAAAUAUGAGAGGGAAGCACUGAGUCAGUAACAUGAUUCAAGGAAUUCAUUGUUCUGGCCAAAUUGAGAUGGCCAGAACUAUCGAACUAUCAAUUUCAUAAUCUUUUCAUUGUCAAGUUUUUGAUCGUGAAAAUCACUGUCGUUGUAGUAUAGUGGUGAGUAUUCCCGCUGUCACCCGGGUGAUCCGGUCCAAUCCCCGGCAACGGCGCAAAAAACUUGACAGUGAUUUUCGCAAGUGUACGAAAUUGCAACAAGUAAUAUAGAGUGAAAGAGUAUCGUAUCCACAGGGAUUGAAUAUCAAGUAAUAUAGGGAUUGUUAACCUAUUAUUAUUUAAACAACAAUAAGAGAGAUUUAUUAUAAGAAAAGAAAAAUCUAAAAUAAAACAGAAAGGAAUCAAGAAACAAUAUUUAGAUGUAAAGAAAUCAAGGGUUUAAAACUACUAGGGAUUUUGAUUUCACUUAAUUCUAUCCAAUUUAUUUUAUUAGUUUGUUAAUUAAAUUUGAUUGUUCAAAUAGGGGAAACAACCCUAAAAUCACUAAUAAGUUCUCCCGAUGUAUUGUUAGUUAUUCUAAUCCGGUCUAAUUGUCUAUCUUCCAAUAGCGCAAUCAAACAUGAAUUAAAUUAUUAAGUUUUAUAAUUUGUUUUGUGAAUUCAUAACCUGAGGUCAUUAACUUAUGAAAACCCCCAUAAGUCAAACCAUAUAGCUUCCGCAUCAAGUUAUUAUUCUCAUGUAGUUUAUUACCUUUUUCGUAUCUAAAACCCUUCUUCUGGUAGUGAUUAAUGAAAUAAAUCAAUCCAGAGGAGAAACUCUGUCUGGAAGCAUUAAGUUCAAUAAUAAAUUAUAUCAAGAACAAAGAACAGCAAAUCUAAUAUUAUAAAUUGGAAUCGAAUUAAGCUAUAUCAAAUCCCUAGGUGGCACGCCCUUGCUUCGAAGGCAGAACUGACAUGAACUAAAAAUGCAAAUCAAUCAUUUUCUCACAUGGGCCCACCUCGGAUAGUUUCUUAAACAUACUAAAUAAGAUCUAGACUUAUUUUGGAAGAGAAAAGAGUCCGAAUUAAGAAGAAAUCCAAGGCCUAAAUAGUCAUGAUCUCCUAAAGAAGAUUUUGUACUUAAUAAGGAUUCUAUUUCCUAAACGGAGUCAGAUUUACCUUCAGGAGGUCUAUAUAAAGAGGGAAACUUUUCAUUGAUUGGUAUCUCGAAAUUUAGUAUUUUUCUAUAUAGUUCUCUCUCUCUCAAAGGUCUCAAGGAAACCAUAUACAUAACUGUUACCUAGUUCUUAUCUCUAAACUCUUAAUAUUAUUUUUCUUUUCAUUGUUCAUCACUGAUUAUGAAGAAUUAUUCAAGUAUUAUUGAGUUUUAUUUACUUACUAUGUCUAGCUAAAUUCUUAUACUAGGGAUUUGAUGUAACUUAAUUUGAAUCUAAUUUAUAAUAUUAGAUUUGUUUUCAUUGUUCUUGUUAUAAUUUAUUAAUGAGCUUAAAGCUUCCAGGCAGAGUUUCUCCCCUGGAUUGAAUUAUUUCAUUAAUCACUAUCGGGAGAAGGGUUUUUGAUAUGAAAAAGGUAAUAAAUUACUUGAGAAUAAUAACUUUAUGCGGAAUCUAUAUGGUUUGGCUCAAGGGGGUUUUCAUAAGUUAAUGAUCUUAAGUUAUGAAUUCACAAAACAACCAUAAAACUUAAUGAUUUAAUUUAUGUUUGAUUGCGCUAUUGGAAGAUAGGUAAUUAUAGUAGAUUAGAACAGCCAACAAUCCUCAAUUUAAUUAGUUUGAAUCGAGUAUUCAAUUAAUUUAUCUCAUGUUGAUCCUCAAUUUAACUAGCUUAAAUCAUCUUUAUGGAAACCUUCACUUAAGAAGAGAUGCGCACUAUAGGCUCUUCGGCCCUAUAGUGUCCAUAGAGCUCCUUCCCUACGGAGACAUCAGCCCCUCUUCAUAGAGCACGAUGCCCGCACCUAGCUCACUAGGGCUCGGUCCCGCAUACCGGCCCCGGGGCAGAGGAGAGCAUUACGCCGGGUCUCUCCUCUCAUAUUCUCGGUCCAUAUGCCAUUCAAGAUGUUAUUCUCGUCUCUAAUAGCCUUAUUUCAUCCAUAGGGUCACCAUGGUAAGGCACCAUGGAUAGGGAUGCUGAGUAUAAAUAAUACUGUGAAUUGAAUUUUUUUGUUUUUAGAAAAUUGUAGAUUAAAUUAUUAGUACAAUUACUAGUAUAAUUGAAAUGCUUGUUUUAUAAUUAAAUCCCUGCAAACCACCUACAAUUUCACUUUUAAGAAAUUCUUGUGUAAAAUUUUUAAUUUAUUAAUGUAAAUUGUUUAUAAUAUUAUACUAAAAAUUAAUAAAAAGUUAUAUAUAAAAAUUAAAUUACAUUUACACGAGAAAACUAUUAAUAAAAAAAAUACAAUGAAUAUACACAUGCUGCCCAUGUGACUAGUUAUAAUAUUAAGACAGGCGGUAAUUUAUAAAAUAAAAUGAAAAUCCAACAGGUUAACAGGUCACCCAAAUUGAUAAUACAUUAAAUUUUUUUUAUUUAAAAAAAAAAGUAAAAAAAAAAGGGAAGAAAGAAAAAGCCAGGCCUUGUUGUCUAUUUAAGCAGGUCCAGUUUCUCAUGGAGCUGCAGACUCAUUAAAAACACUCUCUGUCUCUCUUUCUUGUUAUCAGUUAAGCUAAAGAGAGAUGAGCGCUUUAAACACAGCAGAGAAGGAUGUUGCGCUUGGUUGUGCUGUUUUGGCUUCCAUGACUUCUAUCUUACUUGGUUAUGGUGAGUUCUUUUUUUCUACUAAAAACCAUUUUUUAGUUUUAUCUCCAUUUAUAUAUUUCUUUGACUAUAAAGAAUUAAGAAACAAGAAAUGGAUUCCAAGCUUUGAAUUGUAAUGAUUUGGUUAUAUAUAUAUAUAUGUGUGUAUGAUUUUGUAGAUAUUGGAGUGAUGAGUGGAGCGGCUAUCUACAUCAAAGAUGAUCUGAAAAUCUCUGAUUUACAAGUAGAAGUUCUGGUGGGAACACUUAACAUAUACUCAUUAGUUGGUUCAGCAGCAGCUGGCCGGACCUCCGACUGGAUAGGGCGGCGGUAUACUAUAGUGGUGGCUGGAGCUAUUUUCUUUGUGGGAGCUCUUCUAAUGGGAUUUGCCACAACUUAUGCGUUUCUGAUGGUAGGGCGGUUUGUUGCCGGGAUUGGUGUCGGCUAUGCUCUUAUG
rnacentral:lncRNA from 1 species